rnacentral:rRNA from 1 species
CUGCAUGGAGCCGACCUUGAAAUACCACCCUUUAAUGUUUGAUGUUCUAACGUGGACCCGUGAUCCGGGUUGCGGACAGUGUCUGGUGGGUAGUUUGACUGGGGCGGUCUCCUCCUAAAGAGUAACGGAGGAGCACGAAGGUUGGCUAAUCCUGGUCGGACAUCAGGAGGUUAGUGCAAUGGCAUAAGCCAGCUUGACUGCGAGCGUGACGGCGCGAGCAGGUGCGAAAGCAGGUCAUAGUGAUCCGGUGGUUCUGAAUGGAAGGGCCAUCGCUCAACGGAUAAAAGGUACUCCGGGGAUAACAGGCUGAUACCGCCCAAGAGUUCAUAUCGACGGCGGUGUUUGGCACCUCGAUGUCGGCUCAUCACAUCCUGGGGCUGAAGUAGGUCCCAAGGGUAUGGCUGUUCGCCAUUUAAAGUGGUACGCGAGCUGGGUUUAGAACGUCGUGAGACAGUUCGGUCCCUAUCUGCCGUGGGCGCUGGAGAACUGAGGGGGGCUGCUCCUAGUACGAGAGGACCGGAGUGGACGCAUCACUGGUGUUCGGGUUGUCAUGCCAAUGGCACUGCCCGGUAGCUAAAUGCGGAAGAGAUAAGUGCUGAAAGCAUCUAAGCACGAAACUUGCCCCGAGAUGAGUUCUCCCUGAGACUUUAGGUCUCCUGAAGGAACGUUGAAGACGACGACGUUGAUAGGCCGGGUGUGUAAGCGCAGCGAUGCGUUGAGCUAACCGGUACUAAUGAACCGUGAGGCUUAACCUU